rnacentral:lncRNA from 1 species
GUCAGGCACGCAGGGCGCUGCCCGGCACGGGGCAUGCGGCCCACAUGCGGGCGUGCGGGUCGGCCCAAGCGCGCGCAGGGGGCGCGACCCAGGCGCUCGGCGCGAGCACGGCCAAGGCCCACCCGCAUGGGCCAGCCCAGGCCCAGGCGCCGCGCUUAGGGCUUGUACUCCGAUCCACCGUAGACCGGAUGAUCCAUGGCCCAGCACGUGGACCGUGUGGGCAUUUCCCAUGUAUUUUAUGUGGUCCACAGAACAAUUUCGUGGAUCGGAGUGCGAUCCAACGGCUUGGGUUGAUCCCGAUCUUGAUUCAACGGUUUGGAACUUGAUUUGAGGUUGAUUAGGAGUUCUAAUCCCUUUCUAAUUGAUGGUUAAGACCUUUAAAAGGGCCUGAUGCGAGGGUGGUGGCUUGGUUUUCUCACGAAAAGUUGUGAUUUGGUUAUUGUUCACGGGAACAAUAACCUGUGGUCUCCUGGUGUGGCUUUUUGUUCGCGAACAGUGACCUGGCGGCCUGGUGGUCUCGCACGGGUGCAGAAAUCCAGAAAAUCCGAAAGAGAAGAGAGAGAGCCGUACGCUGGGAGAGAAAAGGAGCAGGGCUCUUGGAAGCGGACAGCGGUCGCUUCAGGGGUUCAAGGGGGUCUUCCAAUAGAGAGACUUUUGUGAGGGAAAACUUUCUGUGAGAGAAAAAUUGGGUGUACGAGGGUUAAGAGUGAAAUCUCCUCUUGUAAAAUUUCUUUUUUAUAGUGAAGUUUGCAUGUUUCGUGGAGACGAGCCCUUUUGUGAUUGAUUCACGUAUUUUGAUUGUUUUGUUUUGUUUCUUUUUUCUUCCUGCUACAUCGCGCAGUAUCGAAAAGAUCUUGAGAGGUGGUGUCUUGGCCAGACAUCCACCCAACAAGUGGUAUCAAAGCGAGGCGGUACAAGGAUGCAGAUUGCAGCGGUGGUGAGCAAGACUGAAGAUAGAGAUCAACAAGUUUGAUGGAGAUCAACAAGUUUGAUGGAAAGAGCAAUUUCUCCUUUUGGCAGGCAAGGGUGAAGAACGUGCUCAUCCAAAAGGGGUUGAUCGAUGCUCUCUUGUGCGAGGAGAAGCCAACCACCAUGGAGGUGUAGGAUUGGAAACGGCUAUAGAUGCAGGCGAUGAGUACCAUCCGCAUGUACCUAGUGGAUGAGGUGGUGAUCCAUGUGCUGAGCGAGACUUCUCCGACGGUGCUGUGGUCAAAGCUCGAGGAGUUGUACAUGACGAAGUCUCUCAGCAAUAUUCUUUUUCUUUGGAGGCAGUUCUAUCAACUACGAAUGACUAAGGGACAAAGCAUGCAGGAGCAUCUCAGCUACUUCCAGAAGAUCCUCACCGACCUCCUCAGCGUUGGUAAAAAUGUUGAGGAGAAGACCAGGGUGCUGGUUUUGCUAGCGUCGUUUCCACCUUCGUAUGAAUCCUUGGUGACUGCUCUUCUAGUGGGGAAGAGCACCAUCAAGAUGGAUGAGGUCACCACGACGAUACUCCAGAAUGAAGUUCUCAGAAGAAAAAAUCCAGCUUCGAGCUCAAGUGGCGGUAGCUCAGCUUUGGUGGCUUCUGGAGGAGUAGGAGGCGGUAGAUGGAGCGACAGGAGAUCGCAACGAGGGCGGUCUAAGUCCAAGAGAGACUUAAGCAAAGCCAGGUGUUACCGAUGUGAGGAGUUAAGACAUCUAGCCAGAGAUUGCCCUCAACUCAAAAAUCGGACGGUGGCUGUUGUAGCGACGGCCAGCAGUGAUUCAGAUGGAGAUAUUCUGGAGAUAUCUGACGAGGUAUCUACUUCUUCCUAGUAGUGGAUAUUAGAUUCUGCACGCACCCAUCAUGUAUGUUGCAGAGAGGAGCGGUUUGACUUUCUAGAGAAUAGUGAGGGUAUUAUAUAUCUAUUGGAUGGAUCGAGUUGUGCGAUCAGAGAUAUUGGGACGGUCAACUGGAGGAUACAUGACGAUAUAGUGAGGAGAUUGGGAGUAGUCCGAUACAUAUCCGAUUUCAGGUGAAAUCUUAUCUCACUGAGCAGACUGGAUUCGAGAGGCUACAGGACGAUAGCUGGUAGAGGAAUCUUGAGGGUGCUACGCGGUGAUAGAAUCGUGCUGGAGGAAAAAAAGGAGAGCAAAGGACAUCAUUACCUGAUAGGGAGCCUAGUGCGAGGUGGAGCUAUGGGAGCCAGGUGGAGCCCAAAGUGAGGUGGAGCUCCAGGUGGAGGUGGAUUGAGCACAAGAUAGGAGACUCGGGAGGACGAGAGACGAUGUCACAAUGUGAGAUUCCUAUUACUACAGGAUGAUGCCCCGAGUAGGUUUUAGGUCAGGAGGAGCACAGCAUACGACGGAGAUGGAAUUUUGCGGCCUAGCUCAACUCCCAUGUUUAUCCAUCCAUGAUCAACAGGCGAUUGCUCCAGGGCAUGGGGGCGAGGAGAUCUAGAAGCUCUCGGAGUUAGGAGAAGGUCAAAUAUUGAGUCAAGAUGGAGAUUGUUAGGAUUUGAUAUCUCGAGAUUCGAUCCACAUUGAGUCCACAGUGAGGUUCGUGACGAAAAAUGGAGUCCAAUAAGACUAAGAUCACCUCAAACGGAGCUCAGAUGGAGGAGAUACGAACUUUUGAAGUUAGCACAAGAUCUGAGGCGGCGGAGGACCGACGCGGCCGUAGGCGGCUUGACGUCGCCGAGUGCGCGGCAGCGUGCAGGCUAGGCGCGCAGGGUGUGGCCCAACGUGGGGCGCGUGGCCCAGGCGCACGCAGGGGACGCAGCCUAGGCCCAGGCGCCCGACACCGGCGCGAGCCGGCCCAGGCCCAAGCACCGCGCUUGGGGCCUGUACCCCAGUCCAUAACCCAGUGCGUGGACCGCGUGGGCAUUUCCCACGUAUUUUAUAUGGUCCACGGUACUAUUUCAUGGACCGGAGUGCGAUCCAACGGCGUGGGUUGAUCCCGACCUUGAUCCAACGGUUUGGGACUUUAUUUGAGGUUGAUUAGGAGUUCUAAUCCCUUUCUAAUUGAUGGUUAAGGCCUUUAAAAGGGCAUGAUGCGAGGGUGGUGGCUUGGUUUUCUCGCGGAAAGCUGUGAUUUGGUUAUUGUUCAUGGGAACAGUAACCUGUGGUCUCCUUGUGUGACUUUUUGUUCGCGAACAGAGACCCAGCAGCCUGGUGGUCUCGUGUGGGUGUGGAAACCCAGAAAACCAGAAAUAGAAGAGAGAGAGCCGUACGCUGGGAGAGAAAGAGCAGGGCUCUUGAACAGCGGACAGCGGUCGUUUCAGAGAUUCAGAGGGGUUUUCUUAGAGAGAGUUUUUGUGAGGGAAAACUUUCUGUGAUAGAGAAAUUGGGUGUAUGAGGGUUGAGGGUGAAACUCCUAUUGUAAUUUUUUUUUUAUAGUGAAGUUUGCAUGCUCCGUGGAGACGAAUUCUUUUAUAGCUGAUCUACGUAUUUUAGUUAUUUUGUUUUAUUUCUUCUUUCUUCCUGCUGUAUCGUAUAGUAUCAAAAAAAUCUUAAAAGAUAGUAUCCUAAUCAGACAUUCAUCAAAUAAAAUAUGAUAGAGCGGCCAAGCAUGCAUGAAAGAUCCCAAUGGCCUUUCGUGUGAAAGAGCUAGCCGAUCCAACUAUUUAAUUGGGUUGGACAUUACUCCUCGACCAUAAAAAUAUCCUUCUUGAUUAGUGUCCUUGUUGGGCACUCCGCACCAUUGAAAUAUGUGAGUUUCUGGUUUUCCGUCAAGGAGAAGACACAGAAGCAAACAUAUAUAGUCAGGAAAGGGAAUUUACCGUGCACCUUAGCUUGUGAUCACUUUCUCUGCAUCCAAUAAUUGAGGAACCUAGGCUAGGUCUUGAAUUUAAUUUUUAUCAUACAUGGUUUUAGACUUGGUUGAAAAUAUGGAGAUGUAAGUUAUCGUAAUCUUUGUCUGGUGAGGUUUAAGAAAACAAAUUCUUGGUUUAGUAAGUGAAAAGAAUUUUUCUUACCACAAACAAAUGAAAUAGAUUUUGUAUCAUGCACGUAAUGUACAUGCUUUAAUUGUGGCCAGUGGAGCUUGAGCAGAUAAGGUGCAUAAAAAUAUUAUGACAUUCUUCGAGGGCACUGUUUUGCCAUCGUAAGGUAACAAGUGGUUGCCUAAAAAUUAUGGCGGAGUUUCCAUUUUUCAUUAUUUUUUGGCUAGAUGUUACAUUAGCUCCUCGGUUAUCAUGUCCACGAGAUACUUGGCUUUAGAUGCCAGUUGUUCAAGAGGAAGAAUAUUUAGUGUGUGGCCCUAACCUAUAUCACUCUUCCAUAUCUAGGAAAAUGCUUUGGGGACUAAAUUUAUAAAAAAAACCACAAAACCAUGAACUAAAUAAUAUUUCCUUAUCAACUCAAAUUUUGAACUAUUAUUUUCUUGGACUCCAGCUAUUGUCAUGAGCUCAUAAAGAGGAAAAGAGUAGUGCCACACCAAAAGUUAUAUCUGUGGUUUCCAUGCAACUUUGGAUUUAUUAGCUGCAAAAUUGAGUUUAGGUGGUCCUUUUGCUUUCUUAGUAAUUUAGUAGGAUCCGUGGAAGGGAGUGAGGCACAGAGGUCAUGGGAAGAAUCCUCCAUGGAUGCUCGCUUUUGCAUUAUAUACAGCAGAGAUAAUUCUUUAGAUCUUGUAUGAAUUCAU